rnacentral:rRNA from 1 species
AAAACAUCUUCUCUUGAUUUAAUUUGAGAUAGGGCCUGCCCAAUGAUUUAUUUAAUGGCCGCGGUAUUUUGACCGUGCAAAGGUAGCAUAAUCAUUAGUUCAAUAAUUGUGAACUUGUAUGAAUGGUAUGACGAAACAUUAUCUGUCUCUAUAUAAUAUUUAUAACUUAAAUUUUGAGUUAAAAUGCUUAAAUUAUUUUAUUGGACGAGAAGACCCUAUAGAUCUUUAUUAUAAAAUUUAUGUAUUUUAUUUAGUUUAUUUAUUAUAAAUAAAUUUUAUAAUUUUGUUGGGGUGACAUGGAGAUAACUAUAACUCAUUAUUUUAAAUUACAUUAAUUUAUGAUUAAUUGACCUUAUUUUAUUGUUAUAAGAUUAAGAUACCUUAGGGAUAACAGCGUAAUUUCUUUAGAGAGUUCAUAUUGACAAGGAAGAUUGCGACCUCGAUGUUGGAUUAAGAUAAUUUUUUGGUGCAGUAGCUAAAAUAAUAGGUCUGUUCGACCUUUGAAAUCUUACAUGAUCUGA